rnacentral:rRNA from 1 species
UACGUAGGUGGCAAGCGUUGUCCGGAUUUACUGGGCGUAAAGGAUGCGUAGGCGGAUAUUUAAGUCAGAUGUGAAAUACCCGGGCUCAACUUGGGUGCUGCAUUUGAAACUGGAUAUCUAGAGUCUUGUAGAGGGGGGUAGAAUUCCAGGUGUAGCGGUGAAAUGCGUAGAGAUCUGGAGGAAUACCGGUGGCGAAGGCGGCCAUCUGGCGCUGAACUGACACUGAGGCGCGAAAGCGUGGGGAGCAAAC